rnacentral:rRNA from 1 species
UACGUAGGCAGCGAGCGUUGUUCGGAGUUACUGGGCGUAAAGGGUGUGUAGGCGGUUGGUUAAGUUUGGUGUGAAAUCUCCUGGCUCAACUGGAAGGGUGCGCCGGAAACUGGAGUGCUUGAGCGUGGGAGAGGAAAGCGGAAUUCCUGGUGUAGCGGUGAAAUGCGUAGAUAUCAGGAGGAACACCUGUGGUGUAGACGGCUUUCUGGACCAUAGCUGACGCUGAGACACGAAAGCGUGGGUAGCAAACAGG